GACACUUCCAUGCCUGUCAAAUGUUACACAAUGUCAUCAAAUGAUUGAAGUUCCAACCUGUUACAGAUUGCCUUCCAGAAAUAUUUGACAGCUAAGGGCAAUGUCAAGUUCUAGCAUUUACUAUAAAAAGCGCAGGUUGUUCUAACAUACCGAGAACACUUGAGCAGCUUGUCUGAGAUAUACGAUAAAAAUGAAGCAAUUCAUAGCAAUUAUUCUGGUCCUCGCCGUUGGUGUUGCCAUGGUAACGUGCCAAUGUGACAGGAAAAAGUGUGGCGGGAGAAGUCCUUCAAUCGGUGAUUGCAGGAGGUCUGACAACGUAUGGCGAUGGAACGGGUUCAGUUGCGAAAAAAUGCCAGUAGCAUGUUACGAUGUAAAACCAAAGCAAAACGCUUUCGACACUAUGCAGGCAUGCCGCAGUCUUUGUGACAAAUAUCAAUGAACAUUUUUUAAAUGAAUUAAUUGACGAUUCUUUCCGUUUAUUUUUGGCUAUUUUAGUCAAACUAUUACACUGAAUACAAUU